AUCCAUGUUAUUUCUUCAUCCUUGCACCGAAACUAAAACAAAGAAAAAGAAAUAAAACAAAGUAGGGUUCGGCCUUGUUCAAGCUAGAUUAAGAUCAAGAACUAAAGAAAUCGGAUUUGGACCGGGAAAAACGAAAGUUGUCGACUAGCCGUCUGAUUCCGUUUUAUACCAUCCGAGAUUUUGGAAUCAAGCUACAAGCUCGGGGAUUGUCAGCCAAGCUCGUCACACUAUCCACAGCUUUGGCUAGGUAUGAAAGUAUAAGAACUCAGCAUACAAGCCGAUCCCCGAACUCAAAUUGGUGAAGUUUCUAUCUUUUUGGAAAAUGGCAUUGUACCUAGGAUGUCUUUUGGUCAUUUUGAAAGUACCUAAGUUGUUAAGUGAUAUUUUGGUAUGUUUUGUAAAUGUUACCAAAACCUUAAGUAUAGUAUGUUUUUGAUAUGUUAGUGAAGAGAAAUUAGAGGAAGUGAUGGUAAAUAUUGUAGAGAGAAGAAA